AUGGCCGGCGCGCCCCGCGAGGGCGGCGAGGGGGCGGGGGCUCCCCCUCUCCCUCCGACCACUGGUCUCGCGAAGUACAUCUCGCUGGGCACGGUCCCCCCGGCGGGGGAGCCCAGGCACGCGCGCCACGCCGAGCUGCGGCGGGCGCUCCAGGCGGGCGACCCGCCCGAGGAGCUCCGGCGGGUCCGCGACAGCGUCGCCGAGUCCUCCGGCAAGGCCAGGGACAAGGUGCGGUCGCUGGAGGACGCGAUCCAGAAGAUCGAAAAGUACAAGAACGUCGUCACGCGCAGGCGGCAGAGGAGCGACGCCAGCGCCGCCAAGACAGGGGCGCCACCACCUGCGGCCCCCGCUGCCGCGUCGAGGGCCGGUGCUCAGGGCUACAACAACAGCUCCCUGGGGGCAAUCAGCAAGCGCAUGCGGUCCUCGAUGACAGAAGGACGGUUGGAAGGACGUGGUAGUGUUCCGACAAGGCAAGGUCCUCUAGCUAAUAGUGCUAAAACGUCACCACUGGAGAAGGAAAAAACUUGUGCAAGAACAUCUGUUACAGUAUCGGAGUUGUCUGAGGACAAAUCACAGUGCUCACCCAAAGUAAAACGCAAGCGCUCUCUGGGAACAAUGCUCAGUAGAAGCAAUGAUGCUGAUCGAGAUGUUAAACCUGUGGGUCAAAACAGGCCAGCUAACGAAGCACGUCCGCGGUCUAGUGAUGGUCUUGCAUUCAGACAUGGAGCUUCUGUCGGAGCAGUAGCAGGUAGCAAGAUGGAUAGCAGUUUUCAGCAGAAUAACAUUGGGUUGCGUAUUCUAUCCAAGAUUGAUGUGGAUUAUGCCAGUCUACCAAAUGAAAGAAGAAUCCGGCAUGCUGGACCUGGAAAGGAGCGUGCUAUGAUAAAAGGAAACAAGGUACAUACUUCUGAUACAAACUUAAGUCCCUCGCCCAAGACUAAAGCAUGCAGGUCACCAAGAACAAGUUCACUUGUCAUGCCCCCCUUCCAACGUUCAGCUGGAGUAAGCGAUGAGUGCGAAGAAGCACCUUGCUCAAAUAAAGCCUCACCUUUGAGAAGCAUGACAAACCGCAAACGUUCAGGUGGUUCGACACCUUCAAAUGCGUCCACACCUCCGAUUGCUUGGGUUGGUCAGCGCCCACAGAAAAUUUCACGGACAAGGAGAGCGAAUGUAGUGUCUCCAGUCUCAAAUUUAGAUGAAGCCUUAUCUGAUGGAUCUCCACUUGAUACUGCUGCUAGGCCAGCAUCUAUUGAGUCAUGCAGUAUUUUGCUUCCAAAAACCGUUACCGGCAGUAAUUCACAAACAGUAGCCAAGAUUGAUAACAUCUCAUCUCCUGUUGGGUUGUUUGAAAGUGGGCGGCUCGCUGCUACCGAAAGCAUGGCCAAGGAGAAAGUUAAGAAUAGUGGUGAACUGGAGAAUGAGGAGGCAACUGCAGUCCACAAUGCAACAGGAUCAAUUGUUCCAUCAAAUAAGGCACCUUCAAAAGAAAAACCUGAACAUGGAGGUGUUCUUCGGCACGGGAGGAGCGGAAGAGGUUCUAUGGACUUAAAAGGGUGCUCUUCAAUAUCAGAAGAAAAUUUGGAUGCUACAGGAACAAGAAAACCACUAAAAUGUGGAAGAGCUGGAGAAGAAAACAAUGAAAGUAAAGUGGGGCACUCCAUGAUGACUAAACCUUCUGACUGCAAAACUUCACCCAGUCAUGAACAGACUCUGAAUUGCAAGCCUACAGUUAUACCAGCUGAACCAGACGGUGACCUAGAGGAGCUUUUAGCUGCUGCAAAUGCUGCUCGCAGUGCUAUCAUUGGUGCAUAUUCUGGACCUUUUUGGAAGGAGAUGGAGCCAAUGCUAACUUUCAUAAGCUCUGAAAAUUUAGCUUUCUUAGAGCACCAGAUUGACCUUGUGGAAGAGCUUGAGAUGAACAUGUCCUAUGGUGGACAUAAUGUCAUAGCAUCCACCGACUGCAUCAAACCACAAACAAUGGAGGAGAUUUCUUCUCAGGUGCUGGCUGCAUCUAAUUCAUCUCUCUCAUCCGAGCUAAGCAAAACCAGUGGAGUUAGAACAAAAGGACCUGUCAGAAGUUGUAUCCCUGGCGAGGAAAACCUCAUCAAUGGGCCACAAAAUGUAGAACCCAACGAAUGGUUUCAUGAGAUGGCCCCGAUGGCACACAGACUCCUUUCAGCUUUAAUCAUGGAAGAUAAUUUUUCUGGCUCCAGUGAUGUGCAAAGAGACAUCUUUGUCGAUAUUUCAGAUAGCCAUAUUCCCUGCACUGCCCACAGAUACCUAACUAAUGAAGUUCAAGUCAGUGACAUAGCAUAUAAUUCUGGGUUGAGUGUGGAUUUUACACACUCAAGCAAUUCUUCAGUGGUAAAUCAGAGCCUGUGCGAUGGAUACACAGCUUCGAGCAAUUUCAUGAGCUCCAGUAGUCAAACUUCGAUCCAUUGCGAGAGUUUGUCAGAUGGAUUCAAUGGUGCUGUACACCCAGAAUAUGGCCAUUUGCAUGACUUAAUACCACAGAUUUCACAGCAGUGUGGAAAUUCAAGGAAAAAUAUCUCUAUACCUCCACAUGAAUAUCAGUACAUGCAGAUGUCUAUGGAUGAUAAGAUUCUGAUUGAGCUGGAAAGUAUUGGCAUUUGUCUGGAGACAGUGCCAAAUCUAGAUGAUGAAGGGGAUGAGGACAUCAAUAAAAUGAUUUCAGAGCUGAGGAGAAGGCUACAUGAUCAGUUGAAGGAAAAGAAAUAUGGAUUGCAUAAGUUAGACAAAGCAAUUCAAGAUACAAAAAGUAUCGAGGAGAGGAGCUUAGAGCAACAUGCAUUGAACAAACUGGUUGAAAGCGCGUACAGUAAACUUCAGGGUGUGGAGGCUGCGGAGGGUACGCGAGCCGGUUCUCGUCAAAACAAGGCUGUUGUCAGUAGGGCUGAAAAAGAACUAGCAUUUUCCUCAGCCUUUGCCAGGCGCACCCUUGCCCGAUGCGAGAGGUUCGAGGGAAUGAAGAAGAGCUGCUUCAGAAAGCCUUCUCUUUGGAGCGUGCUAUCUGCACCCUUCCCAAUCAGCGACGCAAAGUCUACAGAAGGUGUUACAACAAGAUCAAAAAAGGGCAAGAGGGAAAGGGACCGCAGCAGAGAAGCAUCGGCGAAGGGCUCCGGUGGAAGAUCAGGGCGCCGCUCCUCAGGCAGCGGGAGGAGCGGUGACCGCAGAAACAAGACAAAGUCAAAGCAGAAGCUGGUGCAGCUAUCAGCCUCCGGCGACGUCCUAGGCAGAGCCGCUGAGCCAUCUCCAGCACCGGCAGUGCAGGAGCACCCGGAACCGUCGGCGGGCCCUUCAGGCACAGCAAGAAUCUCCCGGCAACAAAGGGCUGCUCCUGGGAACGCCACCCAGCGAUCCACCCAUCCCGUGAUGCCAGCAAGCCUGCCUGGACUGGACGACGACAUGUUGGACGUCCCGGUGGGGCUCGACGUGCAGGAAGGCGGCGAUUUCAGCUCGUGGUUCCCCGACGGGCUUGACGAGUCGUUGCCGCAGGACUGUGACUUCUCAGGCGUUCUUGAGGUGCCUGAUGACGACCUGACGCAGCUUGGGUUCAUGUGA
rnacentral:rRNA from 1 species